AGGGUUCGAUUCUGGCUCAGGAUGAACGCUAGCUACAGGCUCAACACAUGCAAGUCGAGGGGCAGCAUUGGAGUAGCAAUACUCAGAUGGCGACCGGCGCACGGGUGAGUAACACGUAUCCAACCUGCCGCUUACUCGGGGAUAGCCUUUCGAAAGAAAGAUUAAUACCCGAUGGUAUAAAGAGUUCGCAUGUUCUCUUUAUUAAAGAAUUUCGGUAAGCGAUGGGGAUGCGUUCCAUUAGAUAGUUGGCGGGGUAACGGCCCACCAAGUCUACGAUGGAUAGGGGUUCUGAGAGGAAGGUCCCCCACAUUGGAACUGAGACACGGUCCAAACUCCUACGGGAGGCAGCAGUGAGGAAUAUUGGUCAAUGGACGAGAGUCUGAACCAGCCAAGGUUAAGCGUGGAAGGAUGACUCGCCCUAGUGGGUUAGUUAAACUUUCUUUUAGUAAGGGAAUAAAGUGAGGGACGUGUCCCUUUUUGUAUGUACCUUAUGAAUAAGGAUCGGCUAACUCCGUGCCAGCCGCCGC
rnacentral:rRNA from 1 species